GAUGAACGCUGGCGGCGUGCCUAAUACAUGCAAGUCGAGCGAGGCGACGCGGAGCUUGCUCCUCUGACGCUACCGACGGACGGGUGACUAACACGUAGCUAACCUACCUAUAUGACUUGACUAACUUCGGGAAACCGUAGCUACUACCGCAUAAUCUAUGGAACCGCAUGGUUGAAUAAUGAUAUACGGUUUUGCUUUCACUUAUAGAUGGAUCCGCGCUGCAUUAGCUAGUUGGUAAGCUAACGGGCUACCAAGGCGCCGAUUCGUAGCCGACCUGGCCGGGUGAUCGGCCACCCGAGAGCGGAGACGCGGACACGACGCCUACGGGAGGCAGCAGUAGGGAAUCUUCCGCAAUGGGCGAAAGCCUGACGGAGCAACGCCGCGUGAGUGAUGAAGGUCUUCGGAUCGUAAAACUCUGUUAUGAGGGAAGAACAAAUGUGUAAGUAACUAUGCACGUCGUGACGGUACCUAAUCAGAAAGCCACGGCUAACUACGUG
rnacentral:rRNA from 1 species